GUUAAGGCCAGGCUGGAAGAAGGGAACAUAGAACGGAUAAGCCUGCCCAUGCCCGUAUCCAUAACCAAAACCCAGCUGACGUCUGCGUCUUUCUCUCUGGAUCAUAUGGAAAAAGAAACGCAAAACCAUGCGAUUAGGCUUUCAGACCCACAAUGUCGGCGUCCACUUCAAACCACAGUUUCCCUGUAUGCUCGUCAUCACUAAACCAACACUUAGUGGACUCUAAACAACAACGGGCAGAUUAUGAGAACCAUCUACAGAAACUGAACCGAUUACUGAGAGACCUAGAGAAAAGAUAAGAUCAUUUAUUUUUAUACACACUUUAUACAUACAUUUAACAUUCUAAUAUGCUGAUCAAUAGUUUAUUACUGGUGCUCUAUUAUGGUUG